rnacentral:rRNA from 1 species
AUUAAACGCUGGCGGCAUGCCUUACACAUGCAAGUCGAACGGUAGCGCGGGGCAACCUGGCGACGAGUGGCGAACGGGUGAGUAAAGCAUCGGAACGUGCCCUGGAAUGGGGGAUAACGUAGCGAAAGUUACGCUAAUACCGCAUAUUCUGUGAGCAGGAAAGCAGGGGAUCGCAAGACCUUGCGUUCUGGGAGCGGCCGAUGUCGGAUUAGCUAGUUGGUGGGGUAAAGGCCUACCAAGGCGACGAUCCGUAGCGGGUCUGAGAGGAUGAUCCGCCACACUGGGACUGAGACACGGCCCAGACUCCUACGGGAGGCAGCAGUGGGGAAUUUUGGACAAUGGGCGGAAGCCUGAUCCAGCCAUGCCGCGUGAGUGAAGAAGGCCUCGG